AUCUGCCCAUGGAAGAUGUCCAGAAUCCCCACAACCAAUUAAUGGACAUCCUGCAACCCCUGACCCUCCUGUACUGCCCUGCCUUCCACAAUGUCACCCUACAGCCGGCUCAGGCUGUCUGGCACACCUCGGCCUCCUGUGCCCCUAACCCAAAGUGGGCAGAAUGCUGCUAUUUCAUACAUCAUAGGGUACAGACUUUUUGUUCAGCCACCCACCACCUAACUUGCUUGUGGUUCACGUGGCAACCAAAUGCGCCUAUCAUCAACGUUUCAAGUCUACCCCUCCCGAACUGUCUGUGAAGAAACUAAACCUACUAGAGUGCAAGAUGUGUUCCCCUGCAGGCCUGCAAUUCUGCAUUGGCAGCUACCAGGCCAUCCUGGAAGUAUGAUUUCCUUUGAUACUCUAAGCUAGCGGACUUCCAGGCCUUCCUUCCUCCAGAGAAACAGCAAGACUUUCAGACUCUCCUGGACGAAGAUAACUUAGUUGCAAAGGUGGGUCUCCAAGCUGCAAUUGAUGCCAUUGACUCUGCCUCUGGCUUCCGUCUUGCUGCCGCCCACCCUAGCAGUCCUUUUGACUCCUUCCUCAAGACCCAUGAACCAUCCUCCAUCCCUGAUCACAUCGCAGAUCAUCUUCAGGGAUCAUCUUGCCCACUUUGCCUACAACUGAAGCAUGAUGAUCACCAAUUGCUGGGUGCUGGACAUUGUUCACCAAGGGUACCUCAUCAAAUUCCUCUCCUUAAGCCCACCUCUGGGAACCCACAGGACCCAUCUCAAUACCAUCUUGGGGAGGAAGCAGAUGCCAUCCUCUGGAAGGGCGCCAAAGAACAUGUUCCAGGGCCCUACUAUAGCCGUGGUUUCUACUCCCCUUAUUUACUUGUGCCAAAGAAGGGGGGUGGCUUCUGCCCCAUCCUGGAUCUCCAGUUAAAUUCAUACGCAGGUUCCGCUUCCGGCUGUUCAUGCUCCCCUCAGUCUACCAUCCCUUCCUGGGGGAGCUUGGUUUGCAACUCUUGAUAUGAACGAUGGAUACAUUUAUUUAGACAUCCACCCUGAUCACCGUCAGUUCCUCCACUUCAUGGUGUGGGGGCUCCUACCACCCGUUCCAGGUCCUCCCUUUCAGAAUUAACACUGCUCUGCAUUUUCAUAAAAGUCAUGGCGGCCUACAUGUCUCGGCUGGGCCAUGCCUUAUUCCCCUACCUUGACAACUGGUUCCCUGUAGCAACAUCUUGUGCCUGCCUCCUUGUCACUAUCCAGACCAGAGGUGGGCAAACUACAGCCUGCGGGCCACGUCCGGCCCACAGGACCGUCCUGCACGGCCCCUGAGCUCCUUCUAUUCCACCUCCCUCCAGCCU